GCCCUGGAUCUGGGCCUGGGUGGUAGUUAAGGUGGUCAGCAUGAUGGCUCUCCCUUAUCUGCAUUACCAGGACAUCCUUCCAGCACUGCUCCAGGUAGGCCAUUCAAUGCCACCAUUAGCAGGAGGCUGGGUACCAAGGGAGGAGAGCAUUACCCUCACCCUGACACCACCUCAGGACAUAUGAGCGAUGGUGCCACUUCUCCCCUGCUCUCAUCCCAGGGUCCUGCUCCUCAUCCGUGCCCCUCCACCAGGGCAUUAAGCAACUUUGCCACCAAGCCAGGCAUCAAGCUAGGAUGAACAAAGAGCUGCCAUCUACUCUGCUCCUGACUGAUAUAAGACCACCACCACCAAGCAGAUGAAAGCUCCCAGAACUCUCAGACCCCCCCCCCCCUCAAGGACUGCACCAUGGUUCUGACUUCUCAGUCACAUGCCCUUGACCUCUUUCUCAUCCCACAUAAAUGUUCAAGCACUUCAAUAUUCCUUUAUAAUAAAGACUUGCUCAGUCUGUUAUGAA
rnacentral:lncRNA from 1 species